rnacentral:rRNA from 1 species
UACGUAGGGAGCAAGCGUUGUCCGGAUUUACUGGGUGUAAAGGGUGCGUAGGCGGCUUUGCAAGUCAGAAGUGAAAUCCAUGGGCUUAACCCAUGAACUGCUUUUGAAACUGUAAGGCUUGAGUGGAGUAGAGGUAGGCGGAAUUCCCGGUGUAGCGGUGAAAUGCGUAGAGAUCGGGAGGAACACCAGUGGCGAAGGCGGCCUACUGGGCUUUAACUGACGCUGAAGCACGAAAGCGUGGGUAGCAAACAGG